AACGAGCGCAACCCUUAUUACUAGUUGCCAGCAUUCAGUUGGGCACUCUAGUGAGACUGCCGGUGACAAACCGGAGGAAGGUGGGGACGACGUCAAAUCAUCAUGCCCCUUAUGACCUGGGCUACACACGUGCUACAAUGGAUGGUACAACGAGUCGCGAAACCGCGAGGUUUAGCUAAUCUCUUAAAACCAUUCUCAGUUCGGACUGUAGGCUGCAACUCGCCUACACGAAGUCGGAAUCGCUAGUAAUCGCGGAUCAGCAUGCCGCGGUGAAUACGUUCCCGGGCCUUGUACACACCGCCCGUC
rnacentral:rRNA from 1 species